CACGGGGGGAGCAAGCGUUGUUCGGAAUCACUGGGCGUAAAGGGCGUCUAGGCGGUCAGGUAAGUGAGACGUGAAAUGCCUCGGCUCACCCGAGGAGCUGCGUCUCAUACUGCUUGGCUUGAGUAUGGGAGAGGAUGUGGGAAUUCCUGGUGUAGCGGUGAAAUGCGUAGAUAUCAGGAGGAACACCGGUGGCGAAGGCGCACAUCUGGCCCAAUACUGACGUGAGGAGCGAAAGUGUGGGGAGCGAACAGG
rnacentral:rRNA from 1 species